rnacentral:lncRNA from 1 species
GGGGAGGCAACCCCUGCUCUGGGGCCUGGAGACUGGUGCCAGGCCUCAUUCUCAUGACAUGCCUGUGAGUCACAGCCCACUCCUGUGUGAGAGGCUGUGAGCACACGCUGAGACUUCAUGGUCCAGUGCUCGUGUACAUACAUGCGCCCGUGUGUGUGAGAGAGAAGCAACCUGGGGCCACCCUUAGGAAGCUGGGGGCCAGAGGAGGCAGCUGGGGGACAUCAGGAGGAGAAGGACAGGACUGACUUCAGGGCAUGGAUGAAGUGGAGUGACUUUUAAUGGCCAGCACCAGAAUACCUCUUAAUGAGGUAAUGAGCCUCACCCCCACAUGGUGAGCUCACCGGUCUUACUCAUUUCUGCAUGAGGUAAGGGUCUCGCCCACACCAGGUGCCAACCAGUGCUUACGGCUACCACAUGGCAACAGGGGUCACUGGAGGAGUGCUUAGGAGCAAGGGAGUCCUUCUCACCCCGUGAAAUCACACCACUGACUAUGCUACGAAAUAAUCACCUCUCCUCUGGAUCCCAAGAGUGGAACCGAGACAACGGGUCGGAAAAGAGCUUCAGAGAGCUACAAAUCCCUGAGGAGUGACAGCAGGAAACUGCGGCUCCCAGGACCCAGUGAGGGAGUUGAGCAAACCCCCCAGCGGGCAGAGACGGAGACAGGCAGGCAGACGAAGAAGACAAAGAGUCAGUCAGAUGGAAAAGCCAGGGAGAAAAACAGAGACAGCAGCAGAGCCGCGGGUCACUAGGGUCAGCUCCUGAAGGCCUGUCCUUAAUCAGGUGUCUCUGUCUCAGGAACUGAGGCUGCGACUGCGCCCAUCAAAUGGCCAUAUACCUGAGACUGGUGAUAAUCGUAUUCAUUUGCCACUAACUUGCUGCGUAACCUUGGGCAACUCCCUCCCCCACGGCAGGGCAGGAGAGUUGUACGGAAUGGCCCCUAGAGUCCGAUCCCAAUCCCACUCUCACAUUCUCCAGCUGUCUACAAAGGCAGAGUAGUCAAGACACAAGCAGGCCCUGCGGACAUCCAAAGCAGUGACUCUGCCCCGGCCCAGCCUCAGGAAGCUGGGUCCUCACAUUCCGUCCACCCCAUCUCCGGGCUCCAGGUGCCAGAAAUUUUCCACCAGCGGCCCCGCGGGAUUUUGCCCAGCUGCUUCGUGCCCUCUGGUGGCUAAGGCGUGUCAUUGCAGUGCCGGCCUCCUGUCAUCCUCCCUUUCUUGUCCGCCAGACCCUCUGGCGCCCUGCUUACGACUCAAACAGGAGACAGUGCUGAUUCAUUUCCAAGCGGCCUUCCUACACCCACACCUGCUUCACAUAGAUGAGGUUUCCCGGACAGUCCCUGCCCAGAAGCCCAGGUGGAUGUCUGAGACGGCAGCCAGAUACCUGGAAGCCAUUUUAAAAGCCUAGGGAUAUGGGUACUCGGGAGAUAGGAGGCGGAAAGACCACUUGAGCCUAGGAGUUUGAGGCUGCAGUGAGCCAUGAUCGUGCCACUGCACUCCAGCCUGGACGACAGAGCAAGACCCUGUCUCAAUCAAUCAAUCAAUGCAAGCCUAGAGAUAAGGGCAGGAGAAAACCAGGGGACAGAAGUGAGGGAUUGGCCACUGCCAAGUUCUGCCCACCCACCCCCUUUCCCCAGGCCGUUCAGGGGAAAGAGAAAUGGCCUCAUUGUGGGGGCCACAGGUUUAGUUUAAGUCCUGACAUUGCCUCUGGCUUACUGUGUGACUGUCGACCUUGGUUGAGUGGUGCCACGAACCUGAGCUUAAACGUUUUCAGCAGAAGGACCCCCUUUAUUAUGCCCCGCCCCACAAAAUAAGUUCUGAGGUAUUCUGUCUUAGCAAAAUGCAUUAAAUAAUUUAUUUCCCCUGUUGUACUAAUUGGAUCCAUAAGUGUCUCCCGGCAGCAUGACCAGCAUGCGAGGACCCACGUUAUCACAUUGGGUUCAGGUCAUCCUGGAUUUGUCACUCACAAUGGGCGUGUGCAUAUCCUUUGCUGGGGGGUGCAGACUGAAAUUUUGAAGCACUCGCUGUGCGUCAGGUGCUCUCCGUACAUUACCCCAUUU